rnacentral:sRNA from 1 species
GGAGGAACCAUUAUGUCGAAGACAUGAUUUAAAAUGUUCCGCCCGACUGGCCGCCGACCAAAGGGAGGGGCAAUACAUAU